AGGGCUAUAGCUCAGUUGGUAGAGCAACUCGUUUACAAUUAGAGCGCAUGGAGCCAUCUCCUUAUCUUUCUUUUAAGAAAAA
rnacentral:tRNA from 1 species